AGACCCGAAACCCGGUGAUCUAGCCAUGGGCAGGUUGAAGGUUGGGUAACACUAACUGGAGGACCGAACCGACUAAUGUUGAAAAAUUAGCGGAUGACUUGUGGCUGGGGGUGAAAGGCCAAUCAAACCGGGAGAUAGCUGGUUCUCCCCGAAAGCUAUUUAGGUAGCGCCUCGUGAAUUCAUCUCCGGGGGUAGAGCACUGUUUCGGCAAGGGGGUCAUCCCGACUUACCAACCCGAUGCAAACUGCGAAUACCGGAGAAUGUUAUCACGGGAGACACACGGCGGGUGCUAACGUCCGUCGUGAAGAGGGAAACAACCCAGACCGCCAGCUAAGGUCCCAAAGUCAUGGUUAAGUGGGAAACGAUGUGGGAAGGCCCAGACAGCCAGGAUGUUGGCUUAGAAGCAGCCAUCAUUUAAAGAAAGCGUAAUAGCUCACUGGUCGAGUCGGCCUGCGCGGAAGAUGUAACGGGGCUAAACCAUGCACCGAAGCUGCGGCAGCGACACUGUGUGUUGUUGGGUAGGGGAGCGUUCUGUAAGCCUGUGAAGGUGUGCUGUGAGGCAUGCUGGAGGUAUCAGAAGUGCGAAUGCUGACAUAAGUAACGAUAAAGCGGGUGAAAAGCCCGCUCGCCGGAAGACCAAGGGUUCCUGUCCAACGUUAAUCGGGGCAGGGUGAGUCGACCCCUAAGGCGAGGCCGAAAGGCGUAGUCGAUGGGAAACAGGUUAAUAUUCCUGUACUUGGUGUUACUGCGAAGGGGGGACGGAGAAGGCUAUGUUGGCCGGGCGACGGUUGUCCCGGUUUAAGCGUGUAGGCUGGUUUUCCAGGCAAAUCCGGAAAAUCAAGGCUGAGGCGUGAUGACGAGGCACUACGGUGCUGAAGCAACAAAUGCCCUGCUUCCAGGAAAAGCCUCUAAGCAUCAGGUAACAUCAAAUCGUACCCCAAACCGACACAGGUGGUCAGGUAGAGAAUACCAAGGCGCUUGAGAGAACUCGGGUGAAGGAACUAGGCAAAAUGGUGCCGUAACUUCGGGAGAAGGCACGCUGAUAUGUAGGUGAAGUCCCUCGCGGAUGGAGCUGAAAUCAGUCGAAGAUACCAGCUGGCUGCAACUGUUUAUUAAAAACACAGCACUGUGCAAACACGAAAGUGGACGUAUACGGUGUGACGCCUGCCCGGUGCCGGAAGGUUAAUUGAUGGGGUCAGCGCAAGCGAAGCUCUUGAUCGAAGCCCCGGUAAACGGCGGCCGUAACUAUAACGGUCCUAAGGUAGCGAAAUUCCUUGUCGGGUAAGUUCCGACCUGCACGAAUGGCGUAAUGAUGGCCAGGCUGUCUCCACCCGAGACUCAGUGAAAUUGAACUCGCUGUGAAGAUGCAGUGUACCCGCGGCAAGACGGAAAGACCCCGUGAACCUUUACUAUAGCUUGACACUGAACAUUGAGCCUUGAUGUGUAGGAUAGGUGGGAGGCUUUGAAGUGUGGACGCCAGUCUGCAUGGAGCCGACCUUGAAAUACCACCCUUUAAUGUUUGAUGUUCUAACGUGGACCCGUGAUCCGGGUUGCGGACAGUGUCUGGUGGGUAGUUUGACUGGGGCGGUCUCCUCCUAAAGAGUAACGGAGGAGCACGAAGGUUGGCUAAUCCUGGUCGGACAUCAGGAGGUUAGUGCAAUGGCAUAAGCCAGCUUGACUGCGAGCGUGACGGCGCGAGCAGGUGCGAAAGCAGGUCAUAGUGAUCCGGU
rnacentral:rRNA from 1 species